AACGAACGCUGGCGGCGUGCUUAACACAUGCAAGUCGAACGAGAAAAUCGUAGCAAUACGGUGAGUAAAGUGGCGCACGGGUCAUUAACACGUGGAUAAUCAACCUCUGGGAGGGGGACAACCUGUCGAAAGAUGAGCUAAUACCCCGUAAGACCACGGGAUCUUCGGAUCCUGAGGUAAAAGGUGGCCUCUAUUUAUAAGCUGCUACCUGGAGACGAGUCCGCGCACCAUUAGCUAGUUGGUAGGGUAACGGCCUACCAAGGCCAAGAUGGUUAGCUGGUCUGAGAGGACGACCAGCGACACUGGAACUGAGACACGGUCCAGACUCCUACGGGUGGCUG
rnacentral:rRNA from 1 species